rnacentral:snoRNA from 1 species
AACCUCUUGGCAGUGGGCAAGGAGACACCUGAUUGGUAGUGCUGCUCUUAUACCUGUCAGGGGUUAAGCUGACAUACAGUCCUUAGUUCAUCCUAGCUUGAUGUCUGUGUUUGUGGCCAGAGCUGAUUCAUGCUUGGGACACAUUA